CCUACGGGAGGCAGCAGUGAGGAAUAUUGGUCAAUGGCCGUAAGGCUGAACCAGCCAAGUCGCGUGAAGGAAGAAGGAUCUAUGGUUUGUAAACUUCUUUUAUAGGGGAAUAAAGGUAUCCACGUGUGGAUAUUUGCAUGUACCCUAUGAAUAAGCAUCGGCUAACUCCGUGCCAGCAGCCGCGGUAAUAAGGAGGAUGCGAGCGUUAUCCGGAUUUAUUGGGUUUAAAGGGUGCGUAGGUUGUUUUUUAAGUCAGCGGUGAAAGUUUGUGGCUCAACCAUAAAAUUGCCGUUGAAACGGGAAGACGUGAGUGUGUUUGAGGUAGGCGGAAUGCGUGGUGUAGCGGUGAAAUGCAUAGAUAUCACGCAGAACUCCGAUUGCGAAGGCAGCUUACUAAGCCAUAACUGACACUGAAGCACGAAAGCGUGGGGAUCAAACAGGAUUAGAUACCCUUGUAGUC
rnacentral:rRNA from 1 species